AUUGAACGCUGGCGGCAUGCUUUACACAUGCAAGUCGAACGGUAACAGGGUGCUUGCACCGCUGACGAGUGGCGAACGGGUGAGUAAUGCGUCGGAACGCACCGAGUAAUGGGGGAUAACGCAGCGAAAGCUGUGCUAAUACCGCAUACGCUCUGAGGAGGAAAGCGGGGGACCUUCGGGCCUCGCGUUAUUCGAGCGGCCGACGUCUGAUUAGCUAGUAGGUGAGGUAAGAGCUCACCUAGGCGACGAUCAGUAGCGGGUCUGAGAGGAUGAUCCGCCACACUGGGACUGAGACACGGCCCAGACCCCUACGGGAGGCAGCAGUGGGGAAUUUUGGACAAUGGGCGCAAGCCUGAUCCAGCCAUGCCGCGUGUCUGAAGAAGGCCUUCGGGUUGUAAAGGACUUUUGUCAGGGAGGAAAUCCUUAGCGCUAAUACCGUUGAGGGAUGACAGUACCUGAAGAAUAAGCACCGGCUAACUACGUGCCAGCAGCCGCUGUAAGAC
rnacentral:rRNA from 1 species